GAUGAACGCUGGCGGCGUGCCUAAUACAUGCAAGUCGAGCGAACAGACGAGGAGCUUGCUCCUCUGACGUUAGCGGCGGACGGGUGAGUAACACGUGGAUAACCUACCUAUAAGACUGGGAUAACUUCGGGAAACCGGAGCUAAUACCGGAUAAUAUAUUGAACCGCAUGGUUCAAUAGUGAAAGACGGUUUUGCUGUCACUUAUAGAUGGAUCCGCGCCGCAUUAGCUAGUUGGUAAGGUAACGGCUUACCAAGGCAACGAUGCGUAGCCGACCUGAGAGGGUGAUCGGCCACACUGGAAGUGAGACACGGUCCAGACUCCUAAGGGAGGCAGCAGUAGGGAAUCUUCCGCAACGGGCGAAAGCCUGACGGAGCAACGCCACGUGAGUGAUGAAGGUCUUCGGAUCGUAAAACUCUGUUAUUAGGGAAGAACAAAUGUGUAAGUAACUAUGCACGUCUUGACGGUACCUAAUCAGAAAGCCACGGCUAACUACGUG
rnacentral:rRNA from 1 species